UAAACAGAAGAACGUUUUUCGAGAAAGCAGAUUAAAUUGUCUCUUAUCAGAAAUCAAAUGCAUACAUCAGUGGCUAUGUUAUAAUCCCAUUAAAUGUUUUUGUUUGUUUUUAACAUUCAAUUUAAUUUUUUUUUUCACAAACAGGAGUAGCUGUUUUUCAAAUCAGAUUCUGUGACAGUCUGAAAACUGACAAACAAAGAGGGCUUUAGCCGUGCCAGUUUUCGUUGUUGAGCAUCGAUAGAAAACUAGCAUGAUUUAUAAGGUUGAUGGGUGCACAUAAGAAGCCACCGAGACACAAAAAAACGAUGAAGGAGAGAAAAGAAAUCUGUUUUGAACUUAUUCUAGAUUAUUGUACGUGCAGAAGGUGUGAUCGGACCGAACCUACGAUCGAGAUCAGACCGUCCAGGCAAUUAGACGUCGAACCAAUCAUCAUCGCUAGAACACCAUCGCGUAUAUUCGAAGAGACUCGGUCGAUAUGAGAGUUCCGAUCAAAUCCGAGGUAAGGCCAGUUCUAAACGCCAAAAUUGAGAAGAGUGUGAUGAUGAGACGGUCGUUUUCUUCUGGGAUUCAGAGGACAAAGGCAAAAAUCAUAUUCUGAAAAAGUAGGACAGUGUGAAAGCUGUGAACAUUUGAGGAGCACUUCAUCCGGCUCUAUUCAUUUUUCAAAAUCGAAUCGUGGAUGUGGAUAUCUUUUUUCUUGUCCCCUCUUUGAGAGGGACUGAUUUAUUUAUGCUCUGUUUGAAACACUGAAAUUUUAAUCUUAAUAGGAACUAAUAAUAAAGUUGUAUGAAAGUAAACUGUAAAAAUUAAACCUUA